rnacentral:rRNA from 1 species
AUUGAACGCUGGCGGCAGGCCUAACACAUGCAAGUCGAACGGUAGCACCGAGAGCUUGCUCUCGGGUGACGAGUGGCGGUCGGGUGCGUAAUGUCUGGGCAACUGCACGCCGGAGGGGGAUAACUACUGGAAACGGUAGUUAAUACCGCAUAAUGUCGCAAGACUAAAGAGGGGGCCCUUCGGGUCUCUUGCCAUCGGAUGUGCCCAGAUUGGAUUAGUUCGUUGGUGAGCUAAUGGCUCACCAAGGCGACGAUCCCUAGCUGGUCUGAGAGGCUGACCAGCUAGAUUGGAACUGAGGCACGGUACAGACUCUUACGGUGGGCAGCAGUGGGGAAUAUUGCGGAAUGGGCGCAAGCCUGAUGCAGCCAUGCCGCGUAUAUGAAGAAGGCCUUCGGGUGGUAAAGUGCUUUCAGCGGGGGGGAAGGCAAGGCGUUUAAUAAGCGUUUUGAUUGACGUUACCCGCAGAAGAAGCACCGGCUAACUCCGUG